rnacentral:rRNA from 1 species
AGAGUUUGAUCCUGGCUCAGAUUGAACGCUGGCGGCAUGCCUUACACAUGCAAGUCGAACGGCAGCAUGGGUGCUUGCACCUGAUGGCGAGUGGCGAACGGGUGAGUAAUGCAUCGGAACGUACCCGGAAGUGGGGGAUAACGUAGCGAAAGUUACGCUAAUACCGCAUACGCCCUGAGGGGGAAAGUGGGGGACCGCAAGGCCUCACGCUAUACGAGCGGCCGAUGUCGGAUUAGCUAGUUGGUAGGGUAAAGGCCUACCAAGGCGACGAUCCGUAGCGGGUCUGAGAGGAUGAUCCGCCACACUGGGACUGAGACACGGCCCAGACUCCUACGGGAGGCAGCAGUGGGGAAUUUUGGACAAUGGGCGCAAGCCUGAUCCAGCCAUGCCGCGUGAGUGAAGAAGGCCUUCGGGUUGUAAAGCUCUUUCAGACGGAAAGAAAUCGGUGUGUCUAAUACACGCACUGGAUGACGGUACCGUAAGAAGAAGCACCGGCUAACUACGUGCCAGCAGCCGCGGUAAUACGUAGGGUGCGAGCGUUAAUCGGAAUUACUGGGCGUAAAGCGUGCGCAGGCGGUUAUGUAAGACAGAUGUGAAAUCCCCGGGCUCAACCUGGGAACUGCGUUUGUGACUGCAUAACUAGAGUACGG